AUCUGGAUUUGAUGUUUUUAAAUUAACUUUGAAUCUAUAUUAUUUUUAAAUAAACUACUUAUAUAUAUAUACUUCCUUGUCUGCCUGUACAAGUAGCAAUGCAUACAUGAAAUAUUUCUUUAGUUACAAACAAGAAAAUUAUAUCUUGUCUACAUCUGUCUUAGCCUUAUAAAUCCAGAUUUUUAUGAUUUUUGACCGCCGUACUUAGAUAACGCCCCAAGUUUAUAAUUCUUUGUCGCUAGGAUUAGUCGUAGUAUUUUUUUGUGGAUAAUGAUCGAAUGGUGUACCAGUGCACGAUGAUAGAAGAUAAAGUCAGAUCAGUUAGCCCAACGAUACGAAUUAGACGAACCAGGAAUUAACCAGCAUGGUUUCCAAAGGAAGCAGCGUAAAGUUCGACAUGAUAUUGGUAUAAGGGCUCCUAUUACUGACAAUCUCGUCCUCCGUCGAUUGGUCGCUUUAUGCGUGGCUAAAUAAAUUCACAGGGUAUCACAAUUGGCUAUAGGAGCAAAUUUCACUAAUUGGAAAAUUCCUAUAAAUGUCCUAUUAGACGAAAAGGGGAAGAAAUUUGAACGUUUAAGAUGAGGAGAGCAAGGCUAAAUAAAAAGUCAAUCCGUUAAGGAAACCUGAUUAUUUACCAUUUCAUGUAAAGAAGAUGCUCGCACUGGUAACUACAGCAUUGCAUAGUAACAAGUCUGCAUUGCGAUGACGACACACUCGACAGAGUCAAGUUCAAUGCUCCAAUCAAGAUAAAGGAGUGUUUUCUUAGCAUUAAACGGAACCAUAAUUGGUUCCGUUUAAGUGAUGAGGAUUAAUACAUCUUAAUACACUAAUGCGAAGCUCAUUUGAUAUUAUACAUUAAAACGUAGAAAAUAACAUGAAUUAACACGUUGACGUUGAUGCAGACGAAGUUACGCAGACUUUGUCUGCAUCACACUUGAUACUCUAUAUUUCGCCCAAUUUACAUAAUAUAUUUUUAAAUUAUUGUCUA